GUUUAGUUGUUCACCAGCUGACCUACUGCUAUGACAGAGAUAGAGGGGUUGGUGAGCAUGAUUAACAAAAUGUUGUUAAUAAAGGACGCCGACCUGCCAGUUUUGCGUGCUUUGGGCGCUACCUCCAUCGGCAUCCACACCUGCAUGCGAGUUGCGACCACCUUUUGCUCCUUGCUUUUCCAAGAACACAUUUUCUUUGGAUUUAUUUCCUUUUUUUCAAAGGUCCACUACAUCACCACCAUUGGCUGAGUUAGUACGUUACAUAAUUGUCAACUGAGACAUCACCAUGCUUUUGACAGAUGUUUUGACAGGUUGAACGAAAGCGAGCACCCCGUGCCGCCGACGACGGCGAGCUCCCUCACGUCCGCCGCGAUGUCGUCGCGGCCCAUCACCGCGACGGUGCUGCCGUUGUAGCCCCCCGCCGUCAGCAGCAGGUUGGCGCACACCGUCAGCACGGCGCCCCCCGACUGCGACGUCAUCAUGUAGAAGCCCUGCACGCGGCCGACGGCGGCGGAGGAGGACGAGGGAUCCUCGGUGAGGGCAUCGUCGGUGACGGUCGUGUCCCCGAACGCCAGGCCCGGGACGGCGGAGGGGCCCUUGAUCACCUGCACCGCUGUCGGGUUGCUUCCCGUCAGGAUGUCGUGCAUGAACAAGUGCAGGUGCGUGGUGGUGCCGCCGUCAGCCGCCAGGACGGCCGCCGGCGACGACAUCGGAGCGAGGAGGAAGAGGAGGACGGCGGCAGCGAGGGAGGGAGCCAUAGGUGCUCUGCCUUGAUGAAUGGAUGCAACAUUACUGGCAGCUAGAAGGUGAUGGUCAGGUUUUUGUAAAGUCGAUCGAGCGAUGAGACGAGAUGACGAAUUGACGAUAGUAGUAGAUCCAUUUCGAGAGGUCACGAUCCAUUUUAGGUGAAAAAGGAACGCAUCGUAUCUGUCUAUUAGUAAAACAUUCCAUGAUUCGGCUUUGCCAAGUCCAAGUCCGAUCCUGGCUUCAGCAUCAGGACACAGCCAUUCGCCUUCGUUUUCGCCUGGUCUUCUGGUCGGUUCUUCCAAACGAAACGCUACAGUGUGCUACAGUGCUGUAACAGUAAUUUGACACCUCCAAACUUUGGCAACUAAACAAGACCUAAACAUGAGAGAAAAACACAUGCAUGCAUAACAGGUCAUGCCACACGUCACGUCGUUAAUUAAUGAUAACCACCUUUUUCAGUGGACUGUGGGCAUGCGACAGCUCCAGGCUGUGAGAUUCAAAGGUCAGCAAAGAGAACGGGGGAGGUGGUGGUGGUGUUGUGCCUGUCAUGUCACGGUGCUCAUGGUUACUGCAAUACUGCUGCUACACCAGUUGCUCCUCCAAUGGCUAUAUUGUCAGUUUGUCACGUCCUGGGUGUCGAUUUCUCGUUGCACGAAGCAGAGACUGCUAUCCCAAGGACAUUAUCAGCAGACCCAAAGGACAGCGGCUGUAACCAAUAAUUUCUUAUGCUCACGCUUAUCUCGAGUCUUUACCUACUGCUAUGACAGAGAUAGAGGGGUUGUUGAGCAUGAUUAACAAAAUGUUGUUAAUAAAGGACGCCGACCUGCCAGUUUUGCGUGCUUUGGGCGCUACCUCCAUCGGCAUCCACACAUGCAUGCGAGUUGCGACCACCUUUUGCUCCUUGCUUUUCCAAGAACACAUUUUCUUUGGAUUUAUUUCCUUUUUUUCAGAGGUCCACUACAUCACCACCAUUGGCUGAGUUAGUACGUUACAUAAUUGUCAACUGAGACAUCACCAUGCUUUUGACAGAUGUUUUGACAGGUUGAACGAAAGCGAGCAAGCCCAUGCCCAGGCGUCAGAAGAAUAAGCAUAUGAGCAUCACAUCCCAACCAACGGACAACAAAC
rnacentral:lncRNA from 1 species